CCAGCCUUCUGAAAGGAAGAUUAAUCCAGGAUGGGAUCAUGAGUUCACAUGUCCGCAUGAUUAAAGGUAUUUUCCGGUAGACGAUGGGGAUGCGUUCCAUUAGAUAGUAGGCGGGGUAACGGCCCACCUAGUCAACGAUGGAUAGGGGUUCUGAGAGGAAGGUCCCCCACAUUGGAACUGAGACACGGUCCAAACUCCUACGGGAGGCAGCAGUGAGGAAUAUUGGUCAAUGGGCGAUGGCCUGAACCAGCCAAGUAGCGUGAAGGAUGACUGCCCUAUGGGUUGUAAACUUCUUUUAUAAAGGAAUAAAGUCGGGUAUGCAUACCCGUUUGCAUGUACUUUAUGAAUAAGGAUCGGCUAACUCCGUGCCAGCAGCCGCGGUAAUACGGAGGAUCCGAGCGUUAUCCGGAUUUAUUGGGUUUAAAGGGAGCGUAGAUGGAUGUUUAAGUCAGUUGUGAAAGUUUGCGGCUCAACCGUAAAAUUGCAGUUGAUACUGGAUGUCUUGAGUGCAGUUGAGGCAGGCGGAAUUCGUGGUGUAGCGGUGAAAUGCUUAGAUAUCACGAAGAACUCCGAUUGCGAAGGCAGCCUGCUAAGCUGCAACUGACAUUGAGGCUCGAAAGUGUGGGUAUCAAACAGGAUUAGAUACCCUGGUAGUCCACACGGUAAAC
rnacentral:rRNA from 1 species